AGCUAAUAGAUACCCAGGUAGUCCACGCCGUAAACUAUGCUUGCUAGCUGUUAUCAGUAUCGACCCUGGUAGUAGCGAAGCUAACGCGUUAAGCAAGCCGCCUGUGGAGUACGAGCGCAAGCUUAAAACAUAAAGGAAUUGACGGGGACCCGCACAAGCGGUGGAGCGUGUUGUUUAAUUCGACGGUAAGCGAAGAACCUUACCCAGGCUUGACAUCCUGCCAAGUUUUCCGAAAGGAAAAUGUGCCUUCGGGCCGCAGUGACAGGUGAUGCAUGGCCGUCGUCAGCUCGUGUCGUGAGAUGUUUGGUUAAGUCCAUCAACGAGCGCAACCCUUAUAGUCAGUUGAAUUUUUCUGGCUAGACUGCCCCGGGUAACGGGGAGGAAGGAGGGGACGAUGUCAGGUCAUUAUUUCCCUUACGUCUGGGGCUACAAACACGCUACAAUGGCCGGUACAAAGGGCAGCUAAGUCGUGAGACGGAGCAAAUCCCAUCAAAGCCGGUCUCAGUUCGGAUUGUAGGCUGAAACUCGCCUGCAUGAAGCU
rnacentral:rRNA from 1 species